rnacentral:rRNA from 1 species
CCCUGGUUGAUCCUGCCAGUAGUUAUAUGCUUGUCUCAAAGAUUAAGCCAUGCAUGUCUCAGUGCAAGCCGUAUUAAGGCGAUACCGCGAAUGGCUCAAUAUAUCAGUUUUGGUUCCUUAGAUCUUACUCAGUUACUUGGAUAACUGUGGUAAUUCUAGAGCUAAUACAUGCAAUCAGAACUCUGACCAGUGAUGGGAUGAGUGCUUUUAUUAGAUCAAAACCAAUCGACGGAGGGCCUCGCGUCCGAAGUCGUUAAUUUUGAUGAAUCUGGAUAACUUUUGCCGAUCGCAUGGUCCAGUACCGGCGACGCAUCUUUCAAAUGUCUGCCUUAUCAACUUUCGAUGGUAGUUUCUGCGACUACCAUGGUUGUCACGGGUAACGGGGAAUCAGGGUUCGAUUCCGGAGAGGGAGCCUGAGAAACGGCUACCACAUCCAAGGAAGGCAGCAGGCGCGCAAAUUACCCACUCCCGGCACGGGGAGGUAGUGACGAAAAAUAACGAUACGGGACUCUUACGAGGCCUCGUAAUCGGAAUGAGUACACUUUAAAUAUUUUAACGAGGAACAAUUGGAGGGCAAGUCUGGUGCCAGCAGCCGCGGUAAUUCCAGCUCCAAUAGCGUAUACUAAAAUUGUUGCGGUUAAAAAGCUCGUAGUUGCAUUUGUGCGCCGCGCUGUCGGUGCACCGCAUCCGCGGUGAUACUGACACGUCUGCGGAGCAUAUCGUCGGUGAGCCGUCGGUUAAACGUCGGUUCAAUAUCAAAAUCCUAUCGCGGUGCUCUUCAAUGAGUGUCGAGGUGGGCCGACAAUUUUACUUUGAACAAAUUAGAGUGCUCAAAGCGGGCUCAAAAUGCUGCUUGAAUAUUUCGUGCAUGGAAUAAUAGAAUAUGAUCUCGGUUCUAUUUUGUUGGUUUUCAGAACUCCGAGGUAAUGAUUAAUAGGGAUAACUGGGGGCAUUCGUAUUGCGACGUUAGAGGUGAAAUUCUUGGAUCGUCGCAAGACGAACAUCAGCGAAAGCAUUUGCCAAAGGUGUUUUCAUCAAUCAAGAACGAAAGUUAGAGGUUCGAAGGCGAUUAGAUACCGCCCUAGUUCUAACCGUAAAUAUGUCAUCUAGCGAUCCGCCGACGUUACUACAAUGGCUCGGCGGGCAGCUUCCGGGAAACCAAAGAUUUUGGACUCCGGGGGGAGUAUGGUUGCAAAGCUGAAACUUAAAGGAAUUGACGGAAGGGCA